UGAGGUCAUUCUGUCUGCAACAUCCAUCACCUCAAUGGUCACCAGGGUUGAUUUGAUUGACUUGGUUAGCUAGGCAAGUGUUACCUUCCUCCCUCA